rnacentral:rRNA from 1 species
GGCUCAGGAUGAACGCUGGCGGCGUGCUUAACACAUGCAAGUCGAGCGAUGAAGUUUCCUUCGGGAAACGGAUUAGCGGCGGACGGGUGAGUAACACGUGGGUAACCUGCCUCAUAGAGUGGAAUAGCCUUCCGAAAGGAAGAUUAAUACCGCAUAAUGUUGAAAGAUGGCAUCAUCAUUCAACCAAAGGAGCAAUCCGCUAUGAGAUGGACCCGCGGCGCAUUAGCUAGUUGGUGGGGUAACGGCCUACCAAGGCGACGAUGCGUAGCCGACCUGAGAGGGUGAUCGGCCACAUUGGGACUGAGACACGGCCCAGACUCCUACGGGAGGCAGCAGUGGGGAAUAUUGCACAAUGGGGGAAACCCUGAUGCAGCAACGCCGCGUGAGUGAUGAAGGUUUUCGGAUCGUAAAGCUCUGUCUUUGGGGAAGAUAAUGACGGUACCCAAGGAGGAAGCCACGGCUAACUACGUGCCAGCAGCCGCGGUAAUACGUAGGUGGCGAGCGUUAUCCGGAUUUACUGGGCGUAAAGGGAGCGUAGGCGGAUGAUUAAGUGGGAUGUGAAAUACCCGGGCUCAACUUGGGUGCUGCAUUCCAAACUGGUUAUCUAGAGUGCAGGAGAGGAGAGUGGAAUUCCUAGUGUAGCGGUGAAAUGCGUAGAGAUUAGGAAGAACACCAGUGGCGAAGGCGACUCUCUGGACUGUAACUGACGCUGAGGCUCGAAAGCGUGGGGAGCAAACAGGAUUAGAUACCCUGGUAGUCCACGCCGGUAAACGAUGAAUACUAGGUGUGGGGGUUUCAACACCUCCGUGCCGCCGCUAACGCAUUAAGUAUUCCGCCUGGGGAGUACGGUCGCAAGAUUAAAACUCAAAGGAAUUGACGGGGACCCGCACAAGUAGCGGAGCAUGUGGUUUAAUUCGAAGCAACGCGAAGAACCUUACCUACACUUGACAUCCCUUGCAUUACUCUUAAUCGAGGAAAUCCCUUCGGGGACAAGGUGACAGGUGGUGCAUGGUUGUCGUCAGCUCGUGUCGUGAGAUGUUGGGUUAAGUCCCGCAACGAGCGCAACCCUUGUCGUUAGUUACUACCAUUAAGUUGAGGACUCUAGCGAGACUGCCUGGGUUAACCAGGAGGAAGGUGGGGAUGACGUCAAAUCAUCAUGCCCCUUAUGUGUAGGGCUACACACGUGCUACAAUGGCUGGUACAGAGAGAUGCAAUACCGCGAGGUGGAGCCAAACUUAAAAACCAGUCUCAGUUCGGAUUGUAGGCUGAAACUCGCCUACAUGAAGCUGGAGUUACUAGUAAUCGCGAAUCAGAAUGUCGCGGUGAAUACGUUCCCGGGUCUUGUACACACCGCCCGUCACACCAUGAGAGUUGGCAAUACCCGAAGUCCGUGAGCUAACCGCAAGGAGGCAGCGGCCGAAGGUAGGGUCAGCGAU